GUCCCUGUAGCGCAAUGGAUAGCGCGUUGGACUCCUAAUCCAAAGGUCGUGGGUUUGAAUCCAACCAUGGAUG